UUCAGUAUGGCAGAAUAGUGCGACGAACUUAAAAUUCCUUUAUAAAUUAUUUAAUAAAUUUUACUGAAA
rnacentral:tRNA from 1 species